rnacentral:piRNA from 1 species
UAGUUCAUACUGUCUUUUCUGGGUGAAUA